rnacentral:rRNA from 1 species
UACAGAGGGUGCAAGCGUUUGUUCGGAAUUAUUGGGCGUAAAGGGCGCGUAGGCGGCUUUGCAAGUGACGGGUGAAAUCCCUCGGCUUAACCGAGGAACUGCCUGUCAAACUGCAUGGCUUGAGACCGGGAGAGGUGAGUGGAAUUCCCAGUGUAGCGGUGAAAUGCGUAGAUAUUGGGAGGAACACCAGUGGCGAAGGCGGCUCACUGGACCGGUACUGACGCUGAGGCGCGAAAGCGUGGGGAGCAAACAGG